rnacentral:rRNA from 1 species
GACGGAGGGGGUUAGCGUUGUUCGGAAUUACUGGGCGUAAAGCGCGCGUAGGCGGACCAGAAAGUUGGGGGUGAAAUCCCGGGGCUCAACCCCGGAACGGCCUCCAAAACUCCUGGUCUUGAGUUCGAGAGAGGUGAGUGGAAUUCCGAGUGUAGAGGUGAAAUUCGUAGAUAUUCGGAGGAACACCAGUGGCGAAGGCGGCUCACUGGCUCGAUACUGACGCUGAGGUGCGAAAGUGUGGGGAGCAAACAGG